CAAGGUUCUAGAAAGUCUGGUGGAGCACCUAGGUAGUCAAGGUGAUUUCUUUAUCACACGUGCUGUGGGGAAGCUGUGAUCUAUGGAUGAUUCCUGCCCAGUAUCUCCUGCCCCACUACCUUGGAGAGCUAGGUGCUGGCUCAUCCUUUGCUUGGUAAGACCAAGCAGUUGCAAAGUGUCUCAGUGUUGUAUGUAAGAUGCCAUGUGACGAGCCAGCUUUCUGCUUCAGGAGCCAGCCUUCACUGCUGGGAUGGGAUGACCCCCAUGAACCGUGAGCCAGAACAAGCCCUUCUUCCUUUAAGUUGCUUAUAGCAGGGGGAAAGUACUAGACAAUGGAAUUUUGGAGCAACCCCACAAAGAAAGGACCACUGAAGACUCAGAUCCUAUAGGAAUAAAGAUGAAGUCACUCUACAGAUGUCUUGCUGCAAACAGAGAGGGAAUGUUGCAUGAAGCAAGGGCACCGCGAAUGCCAAGUUGGACCUUAAAAAAGAAACACAUGGGACUAAAUGAUCUAUUUCUAAGGAAGCUGUGGAAAGUCUGAACAGAACGCAUUGUGAGAACUGCGCUUCCCCUUCACGCAUCAGGAACACAGACUUUGCCUGAGAGAAGGCAGAGUCUCAUCAAUAUUUAACAGACAAGAUUCUCAGCCUCAAUUUGCAUCUUUGAGAGAUUAAGAAUACCAGAUAGUCUUUACUGGGAAAAGCAGGCCUAAGGUUUUGAUUUACUACAGAGAAAGGCUUUCAAUGGGCUUCUGUGCUCUGAGGAGAUUUGAGGAUGAUCUUCAUGAUGAUGGACUCAACUUGCCUUGUAAGUACAUAGAAUUAUUACACACUAGUCACUCUUCCUGCUUUUGUGAUCAGAUACCCAAUAAGAAGUGAUUUAAGAGAGGAAAGGCUUAUUUUGACUCACAGUUUGAAGGGAUACAGUCCAGUAUGAAGAAGAAGGCAUGGCAGGCGGCAGCCUCAUGAGGUAGGAGUGUGUGGCUGGGAAUCUCCACCUCCUCACAUCUUGAUGGAACAAGAGUCAGAGAGUGGACAGGGAGCUGAGCUGGCUUACCAAAUCUGAAGGCCAGCUUCCAGUGACUCACUUCCUGCAAAGAGACUAUCUCCAGAAGGUUCCACAACAUUCCAAAACAGCGCCACCAACUAGGAACCAACUAGUCAAACACCUGAGCCUAUGGGCGACACUGUGCAUCCAAAUCCCAGCACACUGGUUAGCUAAAGAAGUGGAAUGUGGCAGACGGCCCAGGUAAACACAGAAAAGUGUGGUGCUCUGUCAUGCUUUGAAGUUGAAGGUAGACGUGUGUGUGGUGGAAGCAAUGAGGGGUAAAUCGAUGUCACUAAGCAGAUUCUAGGUGCUUCUUUGCCCUGGACUGGAACACAAACCCUGUCAGGAGUGUGGCCAACUCUUGUGAUCACAGCUCAAUCAGUCCGAGGCUCAAAGCCACAAUAUUAAAAUACUGAGAAGACGGGAUUAUACCCUUCUCGUAUUUAUGCAAAUCUGUUCUUCAAGUCAGAUCCGUACCCCUGGGACACAUGAGGCACGAGAAUGGAAAAUGCUAUUUGGUUGUGCCAUGGUGGGCUGAUUUUCUUUCUUUUGAUUUAAGUGUGGACAAAUAUAUAGCUGUCUUUAGAGAAUUAUUUAAAGAAAUAAAAAUAACCAUUUUGGGUAAACAAAA